AAAUCAAGAGAAAUCCAAAUUUACCCUUACUAUUUAAAGAAGAAAGAGAAGAUAGUAAGGAAAGAGAAAAAUUACUGUAGCACUGAUAAAAAAGGAAAAAUAGACGACCCAUAUUUACAGUUUUUAUGUUGAUUUUUGGAAAAAAAAAAAAACAUGAUUUUAUAUACAUGUGUUGAUUUUUGGAAAAAUGCAUGAUUUUUGGGUAAGAAUAAUAGUUUGGG
rnacentral:lncRNA from 1 species